rnacentral:rRNA from 1 species
GAUGAACGCUGGCGGCGUGCUUAACACAUGCAAGUCGAACGGAAAGGCCGAAGCUUGCUUCGGUACUCGAGUGGCGAACGGGUGAGUAACACGUGGGUGAUCUGCCCUGUACUUCGGGAUAAGCUUGGGAAACUGGGUCUAAUACCGGAUAUGACGAUCUCUUGGAUGGGGUUGUGGAAAGCUUUUGCGGUAUGGGAUGAGCUCGCGGCCUAUCAGCUUGUUGGUGGGGUAAUGGCCUACCAAGGCGUCGACGGGUAGCCGGCCUGAGAGGGUGUACGGCCACAUUGGGACUGAGAUACGGCCCAGACUCCUACGGGAGGCAGCAGGGGGGAAUAUUGCACAAUGGGCGCAAGCCUGAUGCAGCGACGCCGCGUGGGGGAUGACGGCCUUCGGGUUGUAAACUCCUUUCGCAAUCGACGAAGCCUUUUGGUGACGGUAGGUUGAGAAGAAGCACCGGCUAACUACGUG